GCGAAAGUGGCGGAAUUGGUAGACGCACCAGAUUUAGGUUCUGGCGCCGCGAGGCGUGUGGGUUCGAGUCCCUCCUUUCGCACCA
rnacentral:tRNA from 2 species